rnacentral:sRNA from 10 species
GUUGAUUUUCAAGGAAUCAAGCCAUUAAAGGUGGUGAGCAUUCUGGCAAGAGUAAAGAGGUAGUAUCCGAGGAUCAAGAAUCAAAGUAUCCCGAAUUCGAUUCCCAUUACAAUUGGUCACUGCAGUGGAGGGUUCUGUGGACCAGC